rnacentral:rRNA from 1 species
GAUGAACGCUAGCGACAGGCUUAACACAUGCAAGUCGAGGGGCAGCAUAAAAGUAGCAAUACUUUGGUGGCGACCGGCGCACGGGUGAGUAACGCGUACGCAACCUACCUAUCAGAGGGGAAUAACCCGGCGAAAGUCGGACUAAUACCGCAUAAAACAGGGGCACCGCAUGGUGAUAUUUGUUAAAGAAAUUCGCUGAUAGAUGGGCAUGCGUUCCAUUAGGUAGUUGGUGAGGUAACGGCUCACCAAGCCGACGAUGGAUAGGGGAACUGAGAGGUUGGUCCCCACACUGGUACUGAGACACGGACCAGACUCCUACGGGAGGCAGCAGUGAGGAAUAUUGGUCAAUGGGCGGGAGCCUGAACCAGCCAAGUCGCGUGAAGGAAGAAGGAUCUAUGGUUCGUAAACUUCUUUUGCAGGGGAAUAAAGUGCAGGACGUGUCCUGUUUUGUAUGUACCCUGAGAAUAAGGAUCGGCUAACUCCGUGCCAGCCGCCGCAGUAAAAC